UACGAAGGAUGCAAGCGUUAUCCGGAUUUAUUGGGUUUAAAGGGUGCGUAGGCGGCCUUAUAAGUCAGUGGUGAAAUCCUAUCGCUUAACGAUAGACGUGCCAUUGAUACUGUAGGGCUUGAGUACAGAUGCCGUUGGCGGAAUGUGUCAUGUAGCGGUGAAAUGCAUAGAUAUGACACAGAACACCGAUUGCGAAGGCAGCUGACGAAACUGUAACUGACGCUGAGGCACGAAAGCGUGGGGAUCAAACAGG
rnacentral:rRNA from 1 species